UACAGAGGGGGCAAGCGUUGUUCGGAAUUACUGGGCGUAAAGGGCGCGUAGGCGGCCUUCUAAGUCGAACGUGAAAUCCCUGGGCUCAACCCAGGAACUGCGUCCGAUACUGGGAGGCUUGAAUCCGGGAGAGGGAUGCGGAAUUCCAGGUGUAGCGGUGAAAUGCGUAGAUAUCUGGAGGAACACCGGUGGCGAAGGCGGCAUCCUGGACCGGUAUUGACGCUGAGGCGCGAAAGCCAGGGGAGCAAAGCGG
rnacentral:rRNA from 1 species